UGAACGCUGGCGGCGUGCCUAAUACAUGCAAGUCGAGCGAACGGACGAGAAGCUUGCUUCUCUGAUGUUAGCGGCGGACGGGUGAGUAACACGUGGAUAACCUACCUAUAAGACUGGGAUAACUUCGGGAAACCGGAGCUAAUACCGGAUAAUAUUUUGAACCGCAUGGUUCAAAAGUGAAAGACGGUCUUGCUGUCACUUAUAGAUGGAUCCGCGCUGCAUUAGCUAGUUGGUAAGGUAACGGCUUACCAAGGCAACGAUGCAUAGCCGACCUGAGAGGGUGAUCGGCCACACUGGAACUGAGACACGGUCCAGACUCCUACGGGAGGCAGCAGUAGGGAAUCUUCCGCAAUGGGCGAAAGCCUGACGGAGCAACGCCGCGUGAGUGAUGAAGGUCUUCGGAUCGUAAAACUCUGUUAUUAGGGAAGAACAUAUGUGUAAGUAACUGUGCACAUCUUGACGGUACCUAAUCAGAAAGCCACGGCUAACUACGUGCCAGCAGCCGCGGUAAUACGUAGGUGGCAAGCGUUAUCCGGAAUUAUUGGGCGUAAAGCGCGCGUAGGCGGUUUUUUAAGUCUGAUGUGAAAGCCCACGGCUCAACCGUGGAGGGUCAUUGGAAACUGGAAAACUUGAGUGCAGAAGAGGAAAGUGGAAUUCCAUGUGUAGCGGUGAAAUGCGCAGAGAUAUGGAGGAACACCAGUGGCGAAGGCGACUUUCUGGUCUGUAACUGACGCUGAUGUGCGAAAGCGUGGGGAUCAAACAGGAUUAGAUACCCUGGUAGUCCACGCCGUAAACGAUGAGUGCUAAGUGUUAGGGGGUUUCCGCCCCUUAGUGCUGCAGCUAACGCAUUAAGCACUCCGCCUGGGGAGUACGACCGCAAGGUUGAAACUCAAAGGAAUUGACGGGGACCCGCACAAGCGGUGGAGCAUGUGGUUUAAUUCGAAGCAACGCGAAGAACCUUACCAAAUCUUGACAUCCUUUGACAACUCUAGAGAUAGAGCCUUCCCCUUCGGGGGACAAAGUGACAGGUGGUGCAUGGUUGUCGUCAGCUCGUGUCGUGAGAUGUUGGGUUAAGUCCCGCAACGAGCGCAACCCUUAAGCUUAGUUGCCAUCAUUAAGUUGGGCACUCUAAGUUGACUGCCGGUGACAAACCGGAGGAAGGUGGGGAUGACGUCAAAUCAUCAUGCCCCUUAUGAUUUGGGCUACACACGUGCUACAAUGGACAAUACAAAGGGCAGCGAAACCGCGAGGUCAAGCAAAUCCCAUAAAGUUGUUCUCAGUUCGGAUUGUAGUCUGCAACUCGACUACAUGAAGCUGGAAUCGCUAGUAAUCGUAGAUCAGCAUGCUACGGUGAAUACGUUCCCGGGUCUUGUACACACCGCCCGUCACACCACGAGAGUUUGUAACACCCGAAGCCGGUGGAGUAACCUUUUAGGAGCUAGCCGUCGAAGGUG
rnacentral:rRNA from 1 species